GGGUUGUGAGGUUAAGCGACUAAGCGUACACGGUGGAUGCCCUGGCAGUCAGAGGCGAUGAAGGGCGUGCUAAUCUGCGAUAAGCGCCGGUAAGGUGAUAUGAACCGUUAUAACCGGCGAUACCCGAAUGGGGAAACCCAGUGUGACUCGUCACACUAUCAUUAACUGAAUCCAUAGGUUAAUGAGGCGAACCGGGGGAACUGAAACAUCUAAGUACCCCGAGGAAAAGAAAUCAACCGAGAUUCCCCCAGUAGCGGCGAGCGAACGGGGAGGAGCCCAGAGCCUGAAUCAGCAUGUGUGUUAGUGGAAGCGUCUGGAAAGGCGCGCGAUACAGGGUGACAGCCCCGUACACAAAAGCGCAUGUGCUGUGAGCUCGAUGAGUAGGGCGGGACACGUGGUAUCCUGUCUGAAUAUGGGGGGACCAUCCUCCAAGGCUAAAUACUCCUGACUGACCGAUAGUGAACCAGUACCGUGAGGGAAAGGCGAAAAGAACCCCGGCGAGGGGAGUGAAAAAGAACCUGAAACCGUGUACGUACAAGCAGUGGGAGCACAGGUUUACCUGUGUGACUGCGUACCUUUUGUAUAAUGGGUCAGCGACUUAUAUUCUGUAGCAAGGUUAACCGAAUAGGGGAGCCGGAGGGAAACCGAGUCUUAAUUGGGCGUUAAGUUGCAGGGUAUAGACCCGAAACCCGGUGAUCUAGCCAUGGGCAGGUUGAAGGUUGGGUAACACUAACUGGAGGACCGAACCGACUAAUGUUGAAAAAUUAGCGGAUGACCUGUGGCUGGGGUGAAAGGCCAAUCAAACCGGGAGAUAGCUGGUUCUCCCCGAAAGCUAUUUAGGUAGCGCCUCGUGAAUUCAUCUCCGGGGGUAGAGCACUGUUUCGGCUAGGGGGCCAUCCCGGCUUACCAACCCGAUGCAAACUGCGAAUACCGGAGAAUGUUAUCACGGGAGACACACGGCGGGUGCUAACGUCCGUCGUGAAGAGGGAAACAACCCAGACCGCCAGCUAAGGUCCCAAAGUCAUGGUUAAGUGGGAAACGAUGUGGGAAGGCCCAGACAGCCGGAUGUUGGCUUAGAAGCAGCCAUCAUUUAAAGAAAGCGUAAUAGCUCACUGGUCGAGUCGGCCUGCGCGGAAGAUGUAACGGGGCUAAACCAUGCACCGAAGCUGCGGCAGCGACACUGUGUGUUGUUGGGUAGGGGAGCGUUCUGUAAGCCUGCGAAGGUGGCCUGUGAGGGUUGCUGGAGGUAUCAGAAGUGCGAAUGCUGACAUAAGUAACGAUAAAGCGGGUGAAAAGCCCGCUCGCCGGAAGACCAAGGGUUCCUGUCCAACGUUAAUCGGGGCAGGGUGAGUCGACCCCUAAGGCGAGGCCGAAAGGCGUAGUCGAUGGGAAACGGGUUAAUAUUCCCGUACUUGGUGUUACUGCGAAGGGGGGACGGAGAAGGCUAUGUUGGCCGGGCGACGGUUGUCCCGGUUUAAGCGUGUAGGUGUGUGUUCCGGUAAAUCCGGUUCACUUUAACACUGAGGCGUGACGACGAGGCACUACGGUGCUGAAGCAACAAAUGCCCUGCUUCCGUGAAAAGCCUCUAAGCAUCAGGUAACAUCAAAUCGUACCCCAAACCGACACAGGUGGUCAGGUAGAGAAUACCAAGGCGCUUGAGAGAACUCGGGUGAAGGAACUAGGCAAAAUGGUGCCGUAACUUCGGGAGAAGGCACGCUGACACGUAGGUGAAGUGAUUUACUCAUGGAGCUGAAGUCAGUCGAAGAUACCAGCUGGCUGCAACUGUUUAUUAAAAACACAGCACUGUGCAAACACGAAAGUGGACGUAUACGGUGUGACGCCUGCCCGGUGCCGGAAGGUUAAUUGAUGGGGUCAGCGCAAGCGAAGCUCCUGAUCGAAGCCCCGGUAAACGGCGGCCGUAACUAUAACGGUCCUAAGGUAGCGAAAUUCCUUGUCGGGUAAGUUCCGACCUGCACGAAUGGCGUAAUGAUGGCGGGCUGUCUCCACCCGAGACUCAGUGAAAUUGAACUCGCUGUGAAGAUGCAGUGUACCCGCGGCAAGACGGAAAGACCCCGUGAACCUUUACUAUAGCUUGACACUGAACAUUGAGCCUUGAUGUGUAGGAUAGGUGGGAGGCUUUGAAGUGUGGACGCCAGUCUGCAUGGAGCCGACCUUGAAAUACCACCCUUUAAUGUUUGAUGUUCUAACGUGGACCCGUUACCCGGGUUGCGGACAGUGUCUGGUGGGUAGUUUGACUGGGGCGGUCUCCUCCUAAAGAGUAACGGAGGAGCACGAAGGUUGGCUAAUCCUGGUCGGACAUCAGGAGGUUAGUGCAAUGGCAUAAGCCAGCUUGACUGCGAGCGUGACGGCGCGAGCAGGUGCGAAAGCAGGUCAUAGUGAUCCGGUGGUUCUGAAUGGAAGGGCCAUCGCUCAACGGAUAAAAGGUACUCCGGGGAUAACAGGCUGAUACCGCCCAAGAGUUCAUAUCGACGGCGGUGUUUGGCACCUCGAUGUCGGCUCAUCACAUCCUGGGGCUGAAGUAGGUCCCAAGGGUAUGGCUGUUCGCCAUUUAAAGUGGUACGCGAGCUGGGUUUAGAACGUCGUGAGACAGUUCGGUCCCUAUCUGCCGUGGGCGCUGGAGAACUGAGGGGGGCUGCUCCUAGUACGAGAGGACCGGAGUGGACGCAUCACUGGUGUUCGGGUUGUCAUGCCAAUGGCACUGCCCGGUAGCUAAAUGCGGAAGAGAUAAGUGCUGAAAGCAUCUAAGCACGAAACUUGCCCCGAGAUGAGUUCUCCCUGAGACUUAAAGUCUCCUGAAGGAACGUUGAAGACGACGACGUUGAUAGGCCGGGUGUGUAAGCGCAGCGAUGCGUUGAGCUAACCGGUACUAAUGAACCGUGAGGCUUAACCUUACAACGCCGAAG
rnacentral:rRNA from 1 species